rnacentral:rRNA from 1 species
CCCUUAGAUGUUCUGGGCUGCACGCGCGCUACACUGAUGCACUCAACGAGUUUACGACCUUGUCCGAGAGGAUUGGGUAAUCUUUUUAAAAUGCAUCGUGAUGGGGAUAGAUUAUUGCAAUUAUUAAUCUUCAACGAGGAAUUCCUAGUAAGCGCGAGUCAUCAGCUCGUGCUGAUUACGUCCCUGCCCUUUGCACACACCGCCCGUCGCUCCUACCGAUUGGGUGUGCUGGUGAAAUGUUCGGAUCGGCCGUUUGUCGCGGUUUCCGCGGCUCGUGGCUGAGAAGUUCAUUAAACCCUCCCACCUAGAGGAAGGAGAAGUCGUAACA